AGUCAAGUAAUUAAGUGCAUGUGGUGGAUGCCUUGGCAGUCAGAGGCGAUGAAAGACGUGAUAGCCUGCGAAAAGCUCCGGGGAGGCGGCAAAUAUCCUUUGAUCCGGAGAUGUCUGAAUGGGGGAACCCACCUACUUUAAGGUAGGUAUUGCAACAUGAAUACAUAGUGUUGCAAGGCGAACGAGGGGAAGUGAAACAUCUCAGUACCCUUAGGAAAAGAAAUCAAUUGAGAUUC
rnacentral:rRNA from 1 species